UCUCUUUAUAAGCAACGCAAAUCAAUCUAUUUCAACAGUUCAUCAUGAAUACAGAAGUAAAGCAAAUCCUGUUUAAAUCUUCAAUAUUUAUUUUGACAGUCUUGUGUCAAUUUGGUGGCAUUCCGUAUCCGGUUGGACCACCAAAGGGAUAAUCAAAAUCUGAUGGAACUGUUGCUAAUCAAUUUUGUCAGCUUCAAAUUAUGAUCUUAAAUUGUCGUGUUUUCAUUGAUAAAAUUGUUGCAUAUGCGGUUUAAUAUUCAAGAAUAAAGUACAAUGAAAUAA